GAUGAACGCUGGCGGCGUGCCUAAUACAUGCAAGUCGAGCGAACAGACCAGGAGCUUGCUCCUCUGACGUUAUCGGCGGACGGGUGAGUAACACGUGGUUAACCUACCUCUACGACUGGGAUACCUUCGGGAAACCGGAUCUACUACCGGAUAAUAUAUUGAACCGCAUGGUUCAAUAGUUAAAGUCGGUUUUUCUUUCACUUAUAGAUUGAUCAGCGCCGCAUUAGCUGGUUGGUAAGGUAACGGCUUAUCAAGGCAACGAUGCGUAGCCGACCUGAGCGGGUGGUCGGCCACACGGGAACUGAGACACGGUCGAGACUCCGACAGGAGGAAGCAGUAGGGAAUCUUACGCGAUGGGGGAAAGCCUGACGGAGCAACACCGCGUGAGUGAUGAAGGACUUAGGAUCGUAAAGCGCUGUAAGUAGGGAAGAACAAAAGUGUAAGUAACUAUGCACAUCAUGACGGUACCUAAACAGAAAGCCACGGCUAACUACGUG
rnacentral:rRNA from 1 species